CUGGAAUGGCGGCCCAGGGUGACGGGAGCGGACCCUCCGCUGGCCUCCGCUCUGUAGUGGCUGCUACCUUUCCUCAGCUCACCUACAAACCGACAGCCUCGUGACAGCAGAGAUGUGAUGCAACAUGAAGACACCAUCAGCCGUUCUGUCGAGCUUGACAACAGCUUGCGCUCUGCGCUCUGCGCUGUGCGCUCUGUGGAGACCUCUCUUGCAGGCUUUAGAGUGUGGCGGUGCUGGAGGAGCCGGGGUCAAGCACGAUCGGGCGCUUUUCCGCUCUCCCAAGCUCCUGCUUCAAGUGAGUUGCUCGCCUUUCGGGCGUUUUUAUUCGUCUACGGGAAGGCAGGCCCAGGAACACAAACCUAAUGGCUAUUAUGGACUCGGGCCAAAACCUCACAUUUCUGAAAAUCUAACGUGGAAGAGCUGGAGAGAAGGAUCGUGGCUGAAAGCGUACGCAGCUCUCGCAGAGGUCGGGAGUUCAGUUCCCAGAACCACUGAGGGACCACCUGGGAAUGAGAAAAACAACUGUGAGUGUUUGAAUUGAAGCCAGGUGCAGAGAGCUCUUGAAGGGCGGGGUGAACUGUUCUGAGCAACAACCAGCUGUGAACUAGAGAGCAAAAGUGACCUGAUUUUCAGGUAGAAAAGCCCUGCGCUUUGCAUGAUCGGGGUCGUCUCCUGUCUUUGGAGGGGCGACCCUAUCUCCAUAGCAAUAAAACCUCUUGCUUUC